ACGAUUAAAGCUCUCUUCGGAGAGUGCAUAGAGUGGCGCACGGGUGAGUAACACGUAAGUAAUCUACCCUCGAGUGGGGAAUAACGUCCGGAAACGGACGCUAAUACCGCAUAAUGCAGCGGCACCGCAAGGUGACAGUUGUUAAAGAUUUAUCGCUUGAGGAGGAGCUUGCGGCAGAUUAGCUAGUUGGUAAGGUAAUGGCUUACCAAGGCUACGAUCUGUAACCGGUCUAAGAGGACGGUCGGUCACACUGACACUGAAUAACGGGUCAGACUCCUACGGGAGGCAGCAGUCGGGAAUUUUGGGCAAUGGGCGAAAGCCUGACCCAGCAACGCCGCGUGAAGGAUGAAGUAUUUCGGUAUGUAAACUUCGAAAGAAUAGGAAGAAUAAAUGACGGUACUAUUUAUAAGGUCCGGCUAACUACGUGCCAGCAGCCGCG
rnacentral:rRNA from 1 species